GUUACAUUGUGUUGUUUAAGUGUUCCCUUUAUUUUUUUGAGCAGUGUAUUAGCUUACUACAAUAGCCUACCACACUACCGCAUUCAUUCAUCAAGGCACGUUAGCGAUAGCAAUAGGCACAUUAGCGAUAGCGAAUAAACCAGCAAGAUAUAUAAUUUUUGACUAACCUUGAUAAGCUUCAUCAGAUGACAGUCCUAUAACAUCAGGUUAUACAUACACUUAUGUUUUGUUCGAAAAUGUGCAUAUUUAGAGCUGAAAUCAGUGGUUAUACAUUGUGCUAACGUAGCAUCUUUUUCCCACAACGUCCAGAUAUUUUUCUGACACUUUUUCUGACACACAUAUUCUGACCAAAUAACUAUUCAUAAACAUAACUAAAAAAUACAUGUUGUAUAGGAAAUGAUAGAUACACUAGUUCUUAAUGCAAUCGCCGUGUUAGAAUUCUAAAAAUAACUUAAUUACGACAUCCAGCUUAGUUAUAGCGAGAGAGUACCCAAAAGCUGGGCGCAAACGACUAGUACAACAUGUUCGACAGAUAUAUGAAAUAGCAUCAUAAAAUGGGUCCUACUUUUGCUGAUCUUCCAUCAGAAUGUUGUACAAGGGGUCCUUUGUCGGGAACAAUCGUUGUUUGGUUUUAUAACGGCCUUUUUCCCUCUCGAUUUAGCAAGCACACUUGCCAAGUGGCGCGAAUCUCUCCAUCGUCAACAAACUCAGAGAACGGAACACGGCAAAACUCCCGAAAAAAUUUCAAUAAUCUGAUUAAACUAUAUUGAAAAAAACAUACUUUACGAUGAUAUUGUCACAUGUAUCAAAUAAAAUCAACGCCGGAGAUAUUAGUCGUCCAUAACGACAGUUUAUCAGAAGGCAAAUCCAGGUCCCUUCUCGCGCUCUCCAGAAAACAGGAAACUGGUGACACGUCAUGCCAAGAGCUAUUAUUUGAGCCCAGAUCAAGUUACACACUCAAUUUCUUCUCUCACUGCUUGUCGACAUCUAGUGGAAGACGUAUGAAGUGCAUCUAAACAAAUAAAUAUCAAGGACUUUAAUAGGCAGGCCCUAGAAGAGAGCAUCGAUUUCAGAUUUUCCACUUCCUGUCAGGAAGUUUGCUGCAAAAGGAGUUCUGUUUUACUCACAGAUAUAAUUCAAACUGUUUUAGAAACUAGAGAGUGUUUUCUAUCCAAUAGUAAUAAUAAUAUGCAUAUUGUACGAGCAAGAAUUGAGUACGAGGCCGUUUAAAUUGGGCACGAUUUUCCCCCAAAGUGAAAACAGCGCCAUCUGUCCUCAACAGGUUUUAAGAGCCAUCCACAUUGCAAUAAGAGUAUUCUUCCAUUUACUUAGCUAUGUCAACUGCUGUUAUUCAAUUAUGUUUCUCUCCCUUUGAUUUCUACUUCUCAGGCAAGAGUACUGUUUAGGUAAGGGUGUGAUGUCUGUACAAAAACUAAUUUAGAAUAAUUAGACACCCUAUAACCCACACACACACUCAUGUAUCAAUCUGAUUGAUGGAUUGUGUUGUGCACUAAGCAGGCUCAGGUGUAUAACUGUGGCUCCUUCCACCUUCAAAUGAUAGGCAAGAGGGCCAACUAUGGAGAGUAGUAAGACACUUUCUAUAACUACGCUAUAUUGUUUGUCCUCGUGUGUCCGUUCAUGUUUAUCAGUAUAAAGUACUCGGCAGCCACUUAGUGUGGACAACAGGUGAGGCCACACACACAGAUUCCUAUUGAACACUGUCUCUUUAACCACCUUAUUUUCUCAAUAAGUCUCUUCACUUCAUCCCUCUCUCCCCUACUCCCUAAAUCCUCUACGUUAUAUCAGCUGUGUCGGUGAACACCUCCCGCAUCUGAACUGGCAACAUAGAGGGCACAGCAUGAUCAGAGGGAGACAGGGAGGGUCCCCAGAGGAGGGUGGACCUGGACCUCUUCUACAUGGACGCUCAUGAAGUCAGCAACCGGAACUUCCAAAGCUUCAUCAACGCCACAGGCUACGUCAGCGAGGCAGAGAGGUUUGGAGAUUCUUUUGUGUUCGAGGGGGUGUUGAGUGAGGAGGUCAAAAGCCAGAUCUCCCAGGCAGUAAGUACGCUUCAGAGCUCAGACCAAAGACUUAAAGGCAACAGAGAAAGAUAGGAGGAUAAAUGAAAUAACCCCAAAACCAGGGAUGUAUUUGUAUGUAUUGUGCAUUUAUCAUGCUGAGGAAUGAAGUGACUGCUGCAGUCAAUGUUCUAUUGUCACUGAGGUAGGUUUUACAAUUUAACUGACUUAUUUGUUGACAUUAGUCUUAUCAAGUGUCUAUUUUUCUCAAUGGAGACCUGAUCAAAGACUUCUUUAAGUGUUGCCUAGGUGCUAGAGUGACUGUUUCUGCAUUCAACAAUGCCACUUACGACACUAAAGCUACUGAGGAGUUUGUAAAGUGUUAAACAAAUCAAAAUAUAUUUUUAAUUCUUCAAAGUAGCCACCCUUUAACUUGAUGACAGCUUUGCACACUCUUGGCAGUCUCUCAACCAGCUUCACCUGGAAUGCUUUUCCAACGGUCUUGAAGGUGUUCCCACAUAUGCUGAGCACUUGUUGGCUGCUUUUCCUUCACUCUGCGGUCCAACUCAUCCCAAACCAUCUCAAUUGGGUUGAGGUCAGCUGAUUGUGGAGGCCAGGUCAUCUGAUACAGCACUCCAUCACUCUCCUUCUUGGUAUAAUAGCCCUUACACAGCCUGGAGGUGUGUUGGGUCAUUGUUCUGUUGAAAAACAAAUGAUAGUCCCACUAAGCGAAAAAACAGAUGGGGAAAGCUUAUCGUUGCAGUAUGCUGUGGUAGCCAUUCUGGUUAAGAGUGCCUGAAUUCUAAAUAAACAGUGUAACCAGCAAAGCACCAUCACACUUCCUCCUCCAUGUUUCACUGUGGGAACCACACAUGUGGAAAUCAUCCAUUCAACCAACUCGGUCUCACAAAGACACGGCGAUUGGAACCAAAAAUCUCAAAUUUGGACUCAAAAAGACAGAUUUCCACUGGUCUAAUCGAACCCACAAAUGCUGAUGCUCCAGUUACUCAACUAGUCUAAAGAAGGCCAGUUUUAUUGCUUCAUUAAUCCGAACAACAGUUUUCAGCUGUGCUGACAUAAUUGCAAAAGGGUUUUCUAAUGAUCAGUUAGCCUUUUAAAAUGAUAAACUUGGAUUAGCUAGCGUUGAUAAUGGCCCUUUACAAUAUUCCUUUACAACAUUAACAAUGUCUACGCUGUAUUUCUGAUCAAUUUUAUGUUAUUUUAAUGUUUACAAAACACGCUAUUCUUUCAAAAACAAGAACAUUUCUAAAUGACCCCAAACUUUUGAACGGUAGUGUAAGAAUGCUGUUCAUUGACUAUAGCUCAGCAUUCAACACCAUAGUACCCUCCAAGCUCACCAUUAAGCUCGGAGCCCUGGGUCUGAACCCAGCCCUGGGUCUGAACCCAGCCCUGUGCAACGCGUCCUAGACUUUCUGAUGGGCCGCCCGCAGGUGGUGAAGGCAGGAAACAACACCACCACUUUGCUGAUCCUGAACACAGGGGCCCCACAAGGAUGUGUGCUCAACCCCCUCCUGUACUCCCUGUUCACCCAUGACUGGGUGGCCACGCACGCCUCAAACUCAAUCAUCAAGUUUGCAGACGACACAACCGUAGUAGGCCUGAUUACCAACAAUGACGAGACAGCCAACAGGGAGGAGGUGAGGGCUCUGGCAGAGUGGUGCCAGGAAAAUAACCUCUCACUCAACAUCAACAAAACAAAGGAGCUGAUCGUGGACUUCAGUAAACAGCAGAGGGAGCAUGCUCCUAUCCACAUCGAUAGGACCGCAGUUGAGAAGGUAGAAAGCUUCAAGUCGUUGGUGUACAGAUCACUGACGAUCUGAAAUGGUCCACCCACAAAGACAGUGUGGUGAAGAAGGCGAAACAACACCUCUUCAACCUCAGGAGGCUGAAGAAAUUUGGCUUGGCACCUAAAACCUUGCAAACUUUUACAGAUACACAAUUGAAAGCAUCCUGUCGGGCUGUAUCACCGCCUUGUACGGCAACUGCACCGCCCGCAAACGCAGGGCUCUCCAGAGGGUGGUGCGGUCUGCCCAACGCAUCCCCGGUGGCAAACUACCUGCCCUCCAGGACAAUACAGCACCCGAUGUCACAGGAAGGCCAAAAAGAUCAUCAAGGACAACAAUCACCUGAGCCAAGGCCUGUUCACUCCGCAAUCAUCCAGAAGGCGAGGUCAGUACAGGUGCAUCAAAGCUGGGACCGAGAGACUGAAAAACAGUCUUCUAUCAAGGCCGUCAGAGUGUAAAAUCACUAGGCAGCGUCCACCAGGGUUACUGUCGUGGAAAUUCUAAUCAAGUGAGAGAGACUUUGUCAUUUCUUCAAACAAUCAACCUUUUAUUUGAUAUCAAUACAUUUUUUGCAAUAAUGGAGCUGGUCAACAAACCACCCGUAGGUGAUUCGUUGAAAGCCCAACAAUACAGGAAAUGCUGAGAUCUUAUAUAGUGGACCUAAACAUGCUUAUUAAUGGCUGGUUCCACCCCUCCCCGGCAGAUCAGGGAAUCAUAAGCUACCUUGUUUUCUUCUUGUGGCUAUGUGUAUCGGGUCAUAGCGCACAAACAAGUGAUAACCUUAGUUCUGUUACUCCUCUCUGUUCAAGCCAGUCUCUGUUCACCUCAUAUCUCCACACAGCUGUGCCCUUCAAAGAUAUGAGAAGAACAGGAUGGACUGAGACACUGUGGUCACUCUGAGGCUCUUUGUCUUAUGCCGUGUGACCAAGUUGAACAGAGGCAGAGUGGAAAAAUACCCGUUUUUUCUUACAAGACCUUCAAACAGACAGUGGAAAUGUACAGGUUUAAGGCUCAUACAGCGCAUGUGCAUAACAAAGUUCAGCAUUAAGAACUAAUGAAGUAAGUAAUUCUUCUUCAUUACAGGCUAUAUGAGCUUAUAGAGCUUAUACAGGAUUUUUCCCCUUACAUUACACAACCCUGCACCAUAGAGGUUGCUGCCCUAUAUAUAUACUGUAGACUUGGAAUCACUGGACACUUUAAUAAUUGAACACUAGUCACUUUAUUAAUGUUUACAUAUUUUUGCUUUACUCAUCUCAUAUGUAUAUACUGUAUUCUAUUCUACUGUAUUUUAGUUUUUGUCACUUUGACAUUGCUAUUCCUAAUAUUUAUAUAUUUCUUAAUGACAUUAUUUUACUUUUAGAUGUGUGUAUUGUUGUGAAUUGUUAGAUAUUACUGCACUGUUGGAGCUAGAAAAACACCAAAGCCCAGCUGUUAGCUGGGCCAAAGAUAUUUUCCCCAGUGGCUGGACUUCUUUGGUGGACAUUGUGCAAUCAGUCAGUGGUAACCUGGUAACGCAAGUCAUGAUUGGUGUCGUGGAAAUAUUCGGUCAAUCAUAUUUCACAAAUACCGGAGCCUGUGAGUUCAAAUAGACUUUUUAUCACAACAUAACAAAAGCCGAGCUGGUUCAUGAAUACAACUGCCUUUCCAGUCUUGGCAAACAAUUUUUAUACAUUAUUCCUCCUUAAGUCACCCUCAUAGUAACUCCUCUUAAUGACUCAUCCCCUCUGGCAUUUAGCCACCGUUAUCUUAUUGCCUUGCACUAAGUUUAGUUUGGUUUCAUAUUAGGGCAUGGAACCCGUAGAGCCACAGAAAUAGUU